AGCCCGAUCACCGUGCGGCCUGCAUCGAAACUCACAGGCGCGGCACACAAAAAGCGUGGAUGUUGUAACGCACGGCAACGGUACCUCGAGACCCUUUCGUCGAAUCUGUUUCGUCUUGCUCUCUCCCUCUCUUUACCCUCAACCUCCACCGCCCGUGGCGGACGUCGGAAUGGGCAGGAAGAAACGCGUGAGUGAUGUGGAGACGACGCCGGAGCUGAGCUUCGUGCAGGGCGGUGUCCUCAACACGAUCAUCGUCAAGGGGACAGAGGAGAUGCAGCAGAUCGCGGUGGACACCGCUGCAUUCCUCGAGGACAAGCGGGUGGUGCGUAGCACGAACAUGGAUCAGGUGACCUUCUCCCAGAAUGCCAUCUUCAAGGUCACCCUUGACUUUGCAGAGGCAAUCCCGUGCAUUCCCGAGAUCGCGGUGCGCGAGUCGACAGACUGGAUGCUGCUCAGCUGCGCCGGAAACCACGCGCACUACUCGACGGUAGACCAGCGCCUCAUACUUCAGCAGUGCAAAGCAUCCUUGCAGAGCAACAUACCGGAGCUGGAGUUUCCCAUCUGCCUUGUGCUGCGGUUUGACGAUGAUCAGUGGGUAGUCGAGCGCGCCAUUCGCUAAGAGGGCGCAGUGGUAUCUACGUGCAGUAGCCGUCCUCACCGCAGUGCGUGUGCAUGUCCUCGGUGAAUAUCUUUUUCGCCAGUUCUCCUUGCGUCCUGUCAUCUCUCUUUC
rnacentral:misc_RNA from 1 species